CAAUAGGGCAAUUCUACAGCGUUUGACUUUUUUCCUGGAAGAAAGAGCUAUAGAAUCGCUAUGUUUCUAAAGAGGAGAAAACAUACGAAACUGAGCAAUAGAAGGCAACUUAUUCUCAAAAGUUUAUGAAAUUUUUUGUCGAUUCCUUUUGGUCUAAUUAGAAGUGCCUCUUCUGCAGAUUCACUUCUGCUCACAGGAUGUUUGCUACAUUCAAUCAGAAACGAUGAUAUCCACAGACACCAAAAAGCAGCAAGAACUGCAGACUUCUGGAACUGCAAGUGAUUCCCUGAGGCUAGACAGCAUCAAGUGAGGGCUGUGGAGUGAAGAUAAGAGCAGAGACCGAAGAAAACAUUUCCCUGAUAUCAUCAUCUGAUGAAGAAGAUUCACUCACAAGUUUUGUUAAAAAGAGCAAUUUCUGCUAACAUGUGAUAACCAGGUGUUUCUGAAUGAGAACGUCCCAUGUUUCACAGUUGCAUUCUUAGUAAUUUGUUUUAUUUCAUUUUCCCAAAUAUCUGAAAAAUGCUUGUGUGACUACUUGAGAACAUUAUUUACUAUAGAUUUUUACAAAACACAUUGGGGUUCCAAGCUACGCUCUUGGGCUUCCCACUUUUCUGUUCAGGGAUCAAGAGGGUGGAGCUUAUAUUGCCUGUUGCUCUUGUGGUACAGUCCCAUUCAGGUGUAUGAUGAGAACACAAAUAAUGAUCAUUAUGUUCCACUAUCUAAUAUGUGAAUGUAGUGUAAUUACAGAUUAACAGUUGGUAUAUAAGUACACCACGUUCUGUGCCAAUUCCUAUUACUGAGAAUAUUUAUGUGUGAUAUAUUUAUAUAAGGACAUAUUAAAAUUUGAUCAGCUCUUAGGGUAUUAUAUCCUAAAUCUCAAAUGAUAUAUGAGUGCUCCGACACUUGUAAAGUGUCCUACGGAUGUUAAGUUUAGCCGGGAGGUUAGAGAAACUGUCAUGUAGGUGACCAGAUUUGAGACAGGUCCUAGAAAACAGGUAAGACUUAGCCAACCAUACAAGAGAUUCAGGGCCACACUGCAUCAGGGACAACUCACAAGCAAUCGUUCAGAACUUGUUAAAAACCUUUGGAUUUUGGGGACCACUAUCAAGGAGAGCAGAGUAAGAGAAAGCUUCACAUCCGCCAAUUCAAAUGUAACAAAACAAAACAAAACUUUGUGCUCCCAAUUCAGGCUCCCUGGGUGACUACAUAGCUGCCAAUAAGGAAACGUUUACUCAAAAUAACAGAAGUUGGUAUAAAUUGCAAUAACCAUUAACACUUUAAAAUAAUUGCCUAAUCAAUAUUAAUUCCUCUGGUAUCUAUUUAACAGCAUUAAUCACAGUGAACUCAUUUAGUAUUAAUGUGAAUGUCACAAGUAAUUCAAUUGGAUUCCACCGCAAUUCAACAUUAAUUACCUUAACAGGGCCAUUAUUUUAAGGUGUUACCUAGUAAACAUGAAGAUAAAGCAAAAAAAAAAAAUAACAUCAAAAAAUUACAAUGUAGUACUAUAACUUUUAUCUAUAUAUGAUAAACUAUUUGAUUCCUUUGAAAUAUUUUCUUUGAAGAGUUUAAUUGAUUAGUAGAAUAGACACAUUCACACAUGCCCACAAAACUGUGACACAUCACCUGUAACUAUAAGAAGUGUUGAAUCUUAUAAAGAAAUUUGUCAAAUAUUGAGAUUUCCCAUUUAAAUUCCAACACUUAGUAAAAUGUAUUAUUUUAACUGUUGACUCCCUGUCUGCAAUGGGAGUCAUGUACUUUGCCACACAAUAUGAUUCGGGGCAACCAUGUUUUCUGGCACUUAUGCUAGUUUGUCAAGGCUUUAUUCAGCCUUUUCACUAUCGGGUUAUCAGCUCUCAUAUGUCACUUGUAUGUAGGCAUGCAAUUCAGCUGUCUUCUCCCCACUUUUAAUUUUACCUUUUU